rnacentral:tRNA from 1 species
CAAGAAGUAGUUUAAUUAAAAUAUUAAUUUUGGAGAUUAAUGAUAAAGAUGUUUCUUUUUUCUUGA